UACGAAGGGUGCGAGCGUUGUUCGGAAUUAUUGGGCGUAAAGGGUUCGUAGGUGGGAGGAUAAGUCAAGUGUGAAAUCCCUGAGCUUAACUUAGGACGUGCAUUUGAAACUAUUUUUCUUGAGUAUUGGAGAGGGUCGUGGAAUUGCUGGUGUAGGAGUGAAAUCCGUAGAGAUCAGCAGGAACACCAGAGGCGAAGGCGGCGACCUGGCCAAAUACUGACGCUGAGGAACGAAAGCGUGGGGAGCAAACAG
rnacentral:rRNA from 1 species